UACGUAGGUGGCAAGCGUUGUCCGGAUUUACUGGGCGUAAAGAGCGCGCAGGCGGUCGUUCAAGUCGCGUGUGAAAGCCCCCGGCUCAACUGGGGAGGGUCACGCGAUACUGAUCGACUCGAAGGCAGGAGAGGGUAGUGGAAUUCCCGGUGUAGUGGUGAAAUGCGUAGAUAUCGGGAGGAACACCGGUGGCGAAGGCGGCAUCCUGGACCAACACUGACGCUGAGGAGCGAAAGCCAGGGGAGCAAACGGG
rnacentral:rRNA from 1 species